rnacentral:rRNA from 1 species
CAGUCGCCGCGGUAAUACGUAGGUGGCAAGCGUUGUCCGGAAUUAUUGGGCGUAAAGGGCUCGCAGGCGGUUUCUUAAGUCUGAUGUGAAAUUCCUGGGCUUAAUCUGGGGGCUGCAUUUGAGACGCGUGGUCUAGAGUGUGAAAGAGGGUCGUGGAAUUCCCAGUGUAGAGGUGAAAUUCGUAGAUAUUGGGAAGAACACCGGUGGCGAAGGCGGCGACCUGGUUCAUGACUGACGCUGAGGCGCGAAAGCGCGGGGAGCAAACAGGAUUAGAUACCCCAGUAGUCCCUGUCUCUUAUAC